rnacentral:lncRNA from 1 species
CGGCUCAUGUGACCGUUGUCCGGUGAUUGGGACCGAAGAUGCGGAGGAAAGGAGGGAGAAGAAAGCGUGUGGGGAAAGGCAUGAAUGAAAGUGAGAAAUCAUGGAUGGAUAAGGCAUUCAUACCUGAUUGAUUGGAUGACUGUGGGUGGGUCACACCCACGUGACGUUGGUCCCACACGACAUGAGUCUCGGUAGAAUUGGAGACCACGAAAUAAGUCGUGGUUGUCUUUUCUGGGCCCCACUUAUUAAACUCAAUUAAAAAGCUUCUAUCGACAAUUCACAACGAAGUUUGAUUUGUUGAUUGUGUC